UACGUAGGGGGCGAGCGUUGUCCGGAAUUAUUGGGCGUAAAGAGCGUGUAGGCGGUUCGGUAAGUCUGCCGUGAAAACCUGGGGCUCAACCCUGGGCGUGCGGUGGAUACUGCCGGGCUAGAGGAUGGUAGAGGCGAGUGGAAUUCCCGGUGUAGCGGUGAAAUGCGCAGAUAUCGGGAGGAACACCAGUAGCGAAGGCGGUUGCCUGGAGCUUUGCUGACGCUGAUGCGCGAAAGCGUGGGGAGCGAUCCGG
rnacentral:rRNA from 1 species